rnacentral:rRNA from 1 species
CCUACAUGAAGCUGGAGUUACUAGUAAUCGCAGAUCAGAAUGCUGCGGUGAAUGCGUUCCCGGGUCUUGUACACACCGCCCGUCACACCACGGGAGUUGGAGACGCCCGAAGCCGAUUAUCUAACCUUGUGGAAGAAGUCGUCGAAGGUGGAAUCAAUAACUGGGGUGAAGUCGUAACAAGGUAGCCGUAUCGGAAGGUGCGGCUGGAUCACCUCCUUUCUAAGGAGA